rnacentral:rRNA from 1 species
GACAGAGGAUGCAAGCGUUAUCCGGAAUGAUUGGGCGUAAAGCGUCUGUAGGUGGCUUUUUAAGUCUGCCGUCAAAUCCCAGGGCUUAACCCUGGACAGGCGGUGGAAACUACCAAGCUGGAGUACGGUAGGGGCAGGGGGAAUUUCCGGUGGAGCGGUGAAAUGCGUAGAUAUCGGAAGGAACACCUGUGGCGAAAGCGGCUCACUGGACCACAACUGACGCUGAUGCACGAAAGCUAGGGGAGCAAACAGG